ncrna:unclassified sequences DTF3800-XI RNA
UGGGCUGGUCAUUAGACCUGGGUCCACCUGACGACGGGGCGAGUCCCC